UACGGAGGGGGCUAGCGUUGUUCGGAAUUACUGGGCGUAAAGCGCACGUAGGCGGCUUUGUAAGUCAGAGGUGAAAUCCCGGGGCUCAACUCCGGAACUGCCUUUGAGACUGCAUCGCUUGAAUCCAGGAGAGGUGAGUGGAAUUCCGAGUGUAGAGGUGAAAUUCGUAGAUAUUCGGAAGAACACCAGUGGCGAAGGCGGCUCACUGGACUGGUAUUGACGCUGAGGUGCGAAAGCGUGGGGAGCAAAAGGG
rnacentral:rRNA from 1 species